UUGACCUCAAAUCAGGUAGGACUACCCGCUGAACUUAAGCAUAUCAAUAAGCGGAGGAAAAGAAACUAACAAGGAUUCCCCUAGUAACUGCGAGUGAAGCGGGAAAAGCUCAAAUUUAAAAUCUGGCG
rnacentral:rRNA from 1 species